rnacentral:lncRNA from 1 species
AUGCUUAGAGUCCGAGGCUUUGCAGCCCACCCGCCCCUUAGCGGGACCCAGCGUGGGGACCCUCCUGAGCUGGCCCGGGCGCUGCAGUGGCCUCCAGGUUUUCUCUUAGGUGCUCCGUGUUUCCGGGUCUUCACGCUGUGCGCGGUGGCUGCUGCCGGACGGGGCUGUGGCCGGUGCUCAGGGCAUCUGCCCGCUGGCGACCCGCGGCCUCGGCUUCUGGCUCUGCAGGAAGGUGGCCCAGGAGCGGCGCUGACCCAGCGCUGGCCACGGCCGCCGACAGCGGCUCGUGCCCUCGCCCGAGGGGCCGUUGUGAGUCGGUGGCAGCCGGCGGGGCCCCUCGCAGGCUGGGGGCUGGAGCGGCCUGCAGGCUCCCCCCGGGUCUGGGGCACAGCCGGGCCCCUGGGGCGCUCCUCUGCCUGCGGCUCCCGGCCUCCGAGGCGGUGGCUCUGCGGUCCCCAGAGGUGCCGGGGCCUCCCGCGCCUGACUAAGCCUGGGGAGCCGCGGCAGCCCGGGCCCCACCGUCGGACCCCACCUCCGGGGGACGGUGUCCGAGGAAUCCGCAGGUCGGCGAGGGCACCACAGGGACCCCUGGCCCCGAGGACCCACGUCCCUCCCCGCCCGUUCCUCAAGUCCAGCCAAGCCGGGGACGCAGAGCUGCGACCGGGACCCCCUCCUGAGCCCGGCAUCAAAGGCACCCACGGGCCCACGGACUCUUGGACUCUCGGACGGACUCGCGGACUCAUGGAGCCUCGGACCCACGGACUCUCGGACGGACUGACGGACCCACGGACUCCCGGACGGCCGCCGUCCGAGCCCCAGAGCGGCCGCAGGCCCUGGGCUCCCCGCGUGUCCCGCGGGCGUCGGGCGCCCCCUGCAGCCCAGCCCCCGCCCCGCAGACGCUCCCGGGGGAGCCGCUCCACCUGCAGGGCCCGGCCGCGCCGCGACCCCAGGGCGACCUCCCUCCUGCACAGGCCCUCGCGGGGCACCGGCGCGCCCGCCACUGGGAAGCCCUUCACGGCUGCGGCCUCCCGGGGGCCACCGGGGGCUUCACGUCGGCCUGGCGGGAGCGCGGACACCCGGCGGGAGGCGCCGACCCACAGGGGUGCGGGCGGGGAGCGCGGGGGGGCGGGGCCCGCACGGCCUCUGACCUGCGCCCCACCUGCGGCUCAGCACCGUCCCCCCCCCACCCCGUGCACGCGGCGCUUCUGUCCCCCCCGCCCAGGGAGAUCCGCGCCCCGGCCACACCGCGAGAGCAGCUCCAGGCCCCUGCUCCGGCCGGAGAUGCAGGAGGCGGGGGUCCUGGCGCCGGCGGCGGGAGGGCGGGGUCUGCCCCGGCGCGGCCUUGGGUCCGGGACGGAGGGAGGGACGGAGGGAGGGACGGAGGGAGGGACGGAGGGACGGGUGGCGCGGGGCCAGUCCGCGCGGACAGGGGGCAGUGGGGGCUGUGGUCCCUGUGGAACAGGUGGACGCAGAGCCCUGAGGACAAGGGACAGCGGAGACGGUGGCUCGGCUUGCGACUUGCGGCCAGUGCGCCGGGUGGGCACGUGGUCUCCUCUCGGCGCCCGCUGCGCCCCCUCUGACCCGGUUAUUUCUACAUGAAACCUUCGAACAGGGCGAAGCCUCGGCUGAAGGCCCAGGUGUGCAGACCCACGGAGACGCCGCGGAGACGCUGUGCGUGCGCCUCUCGGCCUCCAAGCGGGUCGCAGGCCUCCGCCAGCUGGGCCCUGGGCUGCAGCUCGCCUUCCUGCUCGCCUCACCUGCGGCCACACCCGGUCGGCGGCACCUGCCUUCAGGGACCUUCCGACCCGAGGGGCAGGGGUGCGUGGGCCUCAGUGGGGCGACCGUCCAGGGCUGCGGGGACCAGCUGCGACCCCUGCCCGAGCCCAGCGGGCUCUUCGGUCCGUCCACACCGCCGACCUGGGUAUCCUCCACGGGGAGCACGGGGCAGGCACGGCGUAGGGCCCGACUCCACAAGGAGACAUUUUGGGGGUGAGACCAUGUGACCUGAACACAGCAAGGCCUUCGUUCCGGAUUCCACGGGAUCCUGUCACCUUCUCCGUCCCUGGCGUCCUGCUGUGUGUCUGAACGAGCAGUUGAGGUGUCUGCGCGCCUGAGACCCGGUGGUCAGCUUAGGGAACACGCAGCGUAGACGCAUGAAAACCAAACCGACCACAAAACCCAAACCCCACGAGGUGUUCGAAUCACCCCGAUCAAGAAAACACACUGCACGACGGCUGAGAUCCUUUAUUGUCAGACUGUGCUGGAGCCAGCGAACAAGGACUUCUCAUGGCGAUCCCGGAGAGAUAAGGCAAUUGUUUUUUCUUUGUGGGCGGACUUAGUUGGCCUGAGUCUUUACAACUUUUCCAUAUAAAAAUAAAAGUCCAAGACCAGAUUAUUUUUCUUCUGGUCAUAAACGCCGAUUUAUUUACAGGCACUGCGUCAGAUUACCAUCAUAACCUUGGGAUAAAAUGUAUUUUCUUAAAGUCUCAGGCAUUCAUACGGUCAGGGUUGAGAUUUGCUCGCGCGUUACACUGCCUGGAGAAGGCAGCUUUCCCCACCCGACCCAGCACGGCUACGUGGUCAUUAGCCACCUGGAGCGACACAAACUGACCUUCAAAGAAACGGUUUUUAACUUAAAUCUUUUAGGAACUAAAGCUUCCAAAAUGACUUCCAAUGGUUCUAAAGACGGCGUUGGAGUCAGAGUGGUUAUAAAUACAAUUCCUUGCGUGGGCCACCUGUCUGUCCACAAUACAGCAGACACAGGGCACAGACCUUGCUACAUGUAAAACAAAACAGGGUCAACUGUGGUUCCCGAAGUACAGCAAAGACAGGGAAAGCCAGGACUCUGGUCUGUUAAUAAACCCCCUCACAAAGUCACAACCAAAGAGCAAAACUCUCAACUAUUAAAAUAUACAGACAGACUGUUUACACCAUUGCACAUCCUCUUCCCUUUGCUUUUAAUGCUCAUGAGACGAUUAAAGUGAUGAGUUUGAACACAUUGCAUGCGGGGCAAGCACACAGACGUGAAAGAGGAAACAGAGAAAAAAGUUAAUAUAUGUCCACGAGGAAGGCUGCCAGCAGCGCUCCAAC